AUGAUGAUGAUGAUGAUCAACAUCCAAAAAGAAUUGAAGAAGCUAGAGGAGCAUGUGCUAAAACUUCAAGGAUUCAAUAAAGGGCAGAGAGUAGCUCCCUGGAAUAGGAUCGCUGGCACAAAACUUCUCUACAAGGACUACUUCAAACCGGACCCAACUUACCACAGAGGCUCCUUUCGACGUCGCUUCCUGAUGAGCAGAGAUUUGUUCUUGCUUGUAGUGAAUGCCAUGGAGGAGGUUGAUGACUACUUCAAUCUGAAGAAGGACUGUUGUGACAACUUUCCUUCUCACCUCUGCAGAAAUGCACGGCUGCUAUCAGGAUGCUUGCUUAUGGCAAGGCCGUAG
rnacentral:rRNA from 1 species